AGCAAGACCCACACACAACACACACAUUAAACACAAACCUAACUAUCAGCUGAAAGGAAGAAAGAAGAAAAGAAAAAGAAAGAAAAAAGGGGGGAUAUGGGAAGGAGGCCCGAGGGAGAAGAAAAGGAUGAGAGGAGAGGGGAAUCCGAGAGAGAGAGGAAGGGAGCACCAGGGGAGGAGAAACUCGCUGCCGUCAACCUCGCCGCCAUUUGUCCUUGCCACUGCCAGCUGUGCCAUAGCGAGGAGAGGGAGUCGCGCCAUCAGUCGCGUCGCCCAUCGCCGUCAGCCGCGCCGUUAAUGUCGUCGCCGGUUUUCACCACCGCCGUGCCGUGCUCCAUGCCGUCUCCGACAGUGUUCCGUCACAAGAGAAGGACGCGCGAGAGAGGAAACAGAACCGUGAGGGAGCUCAGCCAUGGAGAUAGGAGACGCGCGUCGGAUCUGUCACCGCCGGUCCGCCCAUCGCCAAACCACGUUGCCGUUUGUGAAGCUGUCUCCGUCGCCGCUGCCAGAGGUCGCCAUUGGAGCCGCCGUUCCACUUCUGUUGUUCUUCUUUUUACAGGUUAAUUUUAUGGGUUUGCAUGUCAAAAAUUAAGGUUGUUGCUGAGCCACUAAGCUCAUGGCUCACUGAAGCUCAUCGGUUAAGUUUGGGGUGGCUGGUGCAUCGUUCUUUUAUUCUAGAUUUAGAAACCGAUGUCACACCUCACGUUUGAGGAAGCAAGCAGAGCUGAGGUUUCAGUUGCCAUUGAUUUCGGGUUGAGAGGAAAGGAAUCUCUGGAGGCAUUUGGAUUGUGGUUUGAACGUGUCGAGGUUUUAUGUCGAAAGUAAGCACAAGUAGGCCAAUUGGUGAGAGCCCGGUGAUGCCGACUACAUCGAAGAGUGUGGAUCCAACUGUAAGACCCUGAAUUUUGAAAAAUUAUUAAUAAAUUAUUUAUGAUUGUUUAUAUUUACUUGAGAUUAUAUUUUUGAGAUUUUGUAUAUAAACUGGGCGGAUUCUUACUUAUAAUUUAAAGCUUUUAUAAUUUAAAAAUAAUGAGUAUUUUUGUAUGCGUUAAUUUCAAUAUUUAGAUUUUUAAUCUUAUUUUAUGAACAAAGGAGAAUUAAUUUACUUAUUUCCAUCUUUUAUUAAAUUAACAUUUGAUUGAAAAUAAUUUACAACUUUUUAAUUGAAAGGUAUUUUAAAGAUGGAAAUUUUGUAUUUAGUUUGGUUUUUAAUUAUUAUUCAAUAUUUUUAAUUAUUUUAUAAAAUUACAUUACUACUCCUAUUUUUAAUAAAAAUACCUAAACUAAUCCACACCAUCCCAAACCCUAACACACUUACACUCAUUCACUCACUUCCCACUCUCAGCCGCACACACCCUCACUCACCUCACUUACCAUGUUCCUCACCAACACACAUACAGAGACACGGUUCUAAGAAGAAAGAAAAGAGAAAAUGAAGAUCGGGGAGUGAGGGAAACGGAGAGGAGAAAGAGAGAAGGAAGAAGACCGCGCCGUCACAAGGAGUUCGCCA